UGCAGAGGUAGGAAUUCACGCUCCUGCAUUCUCGGACCGUUAGGAUUCCAAUUGUGCCUAAAUAUAUCUUGUAUUCUGCGAAGAAGAAGCUGAGAGAGGUUGAAGAUGGGAGGAGAUGAUUUUGAUUAGAAUGCUGAUGAUGAGCUUGAAAUUGAGAACUAUAACUCUUCAUCUUCAUGUUUAACCCUUCCUAAUGGGGAUGUUGGAGAGGUAAACUUUUAGACACUUUAUUCUUUUUCUUUGUGUUCUGAGUGGUUGAAUAUUAAGAAUUCAGAGGAUAUAUAACAAGAAAGUUUAAGAUAAUGCAAAUACUUUGUCUUUGACAAGAAAGUUUAAGAAUUCAGAGGAUAUAUAACAAGA